rnacentral:misc_RNA from 1 species
GAUGAAGAACGUAGCGAAAUGCGAUAAGUAAUGUGAAUUGCAGAAUUCAGUGAAUCAUCGAAUCUUUGAACGCACAUUGCGCCCGCCAGUAUUCUGGCGGGCAUGCCUGUCCGAGCGUCAUUUCAACCAUCAAGCCCCGGGCUUGUGUUGGGGACCUGCGUCCGACGCAGGCCCUGAAAACCAGUGGCGGGCUCGCUGUCCACACCGAGCGUAGUAACUAACCUCGCUAUGGAGUGGCGCGGGCGCCUGCCGUAAAACCCCCAAUUUCACAAGGUUGACCUCGGAUCAGGUAGGAAUACCCGCUGAACUUAAGCAUAUCAAUAAGCCGGAGGA